rnacentral:rRNA from 1 species
AACGAACGCUGGCGGCGUGCUUAACACAUGCAAGUCGAACGCGAAAGGGACUUCGGUCCUGAGUAAAGUGGCGCACGGGUGAGUAACGCGUGGAUAAUCUACCCGACGGACCGGGAUAACAUUUCGAAAGGGGUGCUAAUACCGGAUAAGACCACGGGCUCUUCGGGGCUUGGGGUAAAAGGUGGGGACCUUCGGGCCUACCGUCAUCGGAUGAGUCCGCGUACCAUUAGCUAGUUGGUGGGGUAAAGGCCUACCAAGGCGACGAUGGUUAGCUGGUCUGAGAGGAUGAUCAGCCACACUGGAACUGAGACACGGUCCAGACUCCUACGGGAGGCAGCAGUGGGGAAUUUUGCGCAAUGGGGGAAACCCUGACGCAGCAACGCCGCGUGAGUGAUGAAGGCCUUCGGGUCGUAAAGCUCUGUCAGAGGGGAAGAAGUGCAUGGGCGCUAAUAUCGCUUAUGCUUGACGGUA